AGUGAACGCUGGCGGUAGGCCUAACACAUGCAAGUCGAGCGGCAGCACAGUAAGAGCUUGCUCUUACGGGUGGCGAGUGGCGGACGGGUGAGGAAUACAUCGGAAUCUACUUUUUCGUGGGGGAUAACGUAGGGAAACUUACGCUAAUACCGCAUACGACCUACGGGUGAAAGCAGGGGAUCUUCGGACCUUGCGCGAUUGAAUGAGCCGAUGUCGGAUUAGCUAGUUGGCGGGGUAAAGGCCCACCAAGGCGACGAUCCGUAGCUGGUCUGAGAGGAUGAUCAGCCACACUGGAACUGAGACACAGUCCAGACUCCUACGGGAGGCAGCAGUGGGGAAUAUUGGACAAUGGGCGCAAGCCUGAUCCAGCCAUACCGCGUGGGUGAAGAAGGCCUUCGGGUUGUAAAGCCCUUUUGUUGGGAAAGAAAAGCAGCAGGUUAAUACCCCGCUGUUCUGACGGUACCCAAAGAAUAAGCACCGGCUAACUUCGUG
rnacentral:rRNA from 1 species